UGCGGUACAGACUGCUGCCAUGCAGGCUGGCUAGGUCACUCUAAUCCAGCUCUUGGGAAAUGAUGCAGUGCCUCACUUGCUGCACCGAGACAGAAAAUAGCUGGUAGGAAUAGAAUUUCACCUGAGAGAACUGCUAUGGGAAAAUCACUUCACCAGGAAAGGCUGAACAUUCAUCACAAUAAUCCUCAAAAUCGGAGACCCAAGCUUCCUCCUUCACCUAUUAGGAAAGAGACGGUUUAGCUGACCUUGGAAAUGUCUGCUGAACUUACUUAUGCAUAAGCAAGGACAGUGUGGUGUGGCAGAAAAGCAGCCUGUUUGGGUAGGAGGAGAACACCCCCCAAAAGUGAACCCAACCCUAGUUCUGUAGUGUGUCAUCACUAUGCUUCCUUCAAAGUCUUAGAAAGUGGAAACCUGUUUAGAAGUGUGAUCAUCAUGUACACCAGAAAUAAGGCUAUACCUGGUGGGGAUAGAUGGAGGGACAGAAUGCUAAAUUUAACAAGACCUGAAGACUGGAAAAAUCCUAUGGAGGAAGACUCGAAUGCAGCAGGAAGAUAUUUUCUUCUAGUUUAUUUUAAGUAGAAACUGGCAGCUGUCUUUCCUCCUGCAGAGUCAGCUGCAAAACACAACUUAGAGAUGGAGGAAGAUGCCCAUCCCAGUAAAAGAGAAAUGCUGACUGAUGAUCUAACAUAUCAUUCUAUUUUAUCUAUCUAUCUAUCUAUCUAUCUAUCUAUCUGUCUGUCUAUCUUACUGUUACCUUUUCACCAUUAUUGUUUUGCUUUCAGUUUCAUCUUGCCUUAAUAGGCAUUCAUGAUGGACUCCCCCAAUGCAUUCUCUUUUCCCCACUACUUAUAACAACUCAUGUAUAUUCCCUCUCACCCCUAAUUUACUCCUCUUUUUCCCCUUCACACAUUCUCCUUUUUAACUUCUUAAACUGUUGUUUCAAACAUGAUUACAUUUAUCCUAGCACUAUCCUAUGCCAUUUUUGAACCUCAUUAGGGAUACAGUCAAAUAAAAAUGCGUUUCAAUAAAAUAAUUAGUUUCAAUGCAUUGUUUCUGUCACUAUUGUUUUCCUUUCUACCUCUUAGUACCAGUGUGGAAUCAUAAGCUCAAGUAAAGACUGUGUAAAAAGAAAAUUCACAAAUGAUAAGUCAAAAAAGCAAAAAGAGUGUGAAGAAAAAAAAAGACUGAAGUGCAUUCAUCCCAACAGAUGCACAUAACCCAAGAAACUCAAUAUAUGUGGGAAAAAUAAGCCUCCACAAUGCACACUGACUUUCACAACUUUUCAAUGAUUAAAAGAGUCACUAUUGACAAACCUUUAGCCAAACUAACAAAAAGAAAGAAUGACAUGAAUUAAUAAAAUUAGAUAGGAAAGGGGGAUGUUACAAUGAAAUCCAAAGGUCA